AACGCGAAGAACCUUACCAAGGUUUGACAUGCAGGGAAAAGCCGUAGAGAUAUGGUGUCCGUAAGGGUCCUGCACAGGUGGUGCAUGGCUGUCGUCAGCUCGUGUCGUGAGAUGUUGGGUUAAGUCCCGCAACGAGCGCAACCCUCGUCCUAUGUUGCCAGCGGGUAAUGCCGGGGACUCAUAGGAGACUGCCGGGGUCAACUCGGAGGAAGGUGGGGAUGACGUCAAGUCCUCAUGCCCCUUAUGUCUUGGGCUGCAAACAUGCUACAAUGGCCAGUACAAAGGGUUGCGAGACCGCAAGGUGGAGCGAAUCCCAAAAAGCUGGUCUCAGUUCGGAUUGGGGUCUGCAACUCGACCCCAUGAAGUCGGAGUCGCUAGUAAUCGCAGAUCAGCAACGCUGCGGUGAAUACGUUCCCGGGCCUUGUA
rnacentral:rRNA from 1 species